rnacentral:sRNA from 1 species
AUGUUUUGAGUCAAAUGUCACUAUGUUUGUAGUUUAAUUUCUGCAUAUUACGUAAAUUUUAACCUUAAAUCUACAUAUAAAUUUUUGCAGCCAUUUUGUGAAAUAAAUCAUAUAGUUGAGACUUAUUUACAAUGGCUGCCACUGAAUUUUAAUGUUUGUUUUUGAUAAUUAGAAAGAGAGUCGGCUAUGGCCUAUGGGCCAAACUGGCCAAGCAUGGGAUUGUAGUGGUUAUGGCUCAUAGUGGGAAGGUGUUUGAGUA